CAGCCCUAAACGAUGCGCGUUAGGUGUAUCGGUGACCACGAGUCACCGAGGUGCCGAAGGGAAACCGUGAAACGUGCCGCCUGGGAAGUACGGUCGCAAGGCUGAAACUUAAAGGAAUUGGCGGGGGAGCACCGCAACGGGAGGAGCGUGCGGUUCAAUUGGAUUCAACGCCGGACAACUCACCGGAUAAGACAGCUGAAUGAUUGUCAAUCUGAAGGUUUUACAUGACUAGCUGAGAGGAGGUGCAUGGCGUCAGUGACU
rnacentral:rRNA from 1 species